rnacentral:rRNA from 1 species
AACCAGCACCUCAAGUGGUCAGGAUGAUUAUUGGGCCUAAAGCAUCCGUAGCCGGCUCUGUAAGUUUUCGGUUAAAUCUGUACGCUCAACGUACAGGCUGCCGGGAAUACUGCAGAACUAGGGAGUGGGAGAGGUAGACGGUACUCGGUAGGAAGUGGUAAAAUGCUUUGAUCUAUCGAUGACCACCUGUGGCGAAGGCGGUCUACCAGAACACGUCCGACGGUGAGGGAUGAAAGCUGGGGGAGCAAACAGG